rnacentral:rRNA from 1 species
UAAAGGAAAUAAGUGCGCACAGAGGAUGCCUAGGCACCAAGAGCCGAUGAAGGACG